ACAGGCAGAGAGUUAUCCACGCAGAGGCAGCUUAAUGGCCGUACAUAAAGGAAAAAAGUGGUAGAAAUAAGUUUAAGACUGGGUUUGAUGUUUUCUAAAUUUAUGAGACAAAGUCUUUCAUUUCAUUGACUAUUGGAAGUACAGUGCACCCAUCGCUACGUAAAUCCCAUUCUUAUCAGGGUUCCGAUGAGAGGUUUUCUAAUGGAAAUUUCCUGGUUUUUGGAUGAUCUAAAUUCUGUGACAUACAGCACUGCAUGAGGAAUAUCUAUCCCAAAAAUAUUAGGAUUUGAAUGCAAAUUCCUCUCCUUUUGUAUGACGAUUCCCUGAUUUUUGGGUGUGAUUUGAUUCACAAUUUGACUUAAUGUUAACGAAUCAAUAAAUACAAACUCUCAAAA